rnacentral:rRNA from 1 species
UACAGAGGCCUCGAGCGUUAGGCGGAAUCACUGGGCUUAAAGCGUGUGUAGGUGGAUGCCUAAGUGCCUUGUGAAAUCCCACGGCUUAACCGUGGAAUUGCUGGGCAUACUGGGUGUCUUGAGCCACUCAGGGGCUACCGGAACAAAUGGUGGAGCGGUGAAAUGCGUAGAUAUCAUUUGGAACGCCAAUGGUGAAAACAGGUAGCUGGGGGUGUGCUGACACUGGAGAACACGAAAGCCAGGGGAGCAAACGGG